rnacentral:rRNA from 1 species
UACAGGGGGGGCAAGCGUUGUUCGGAAUUACUGGGCGUAAAGGGCUCGUAGGUGGCCAACUACGUCAGACGUGAAAUCCCUCAGCUUAACUGGGGAACUGCGUCUGAUACUGGAUGGCUUGAGUUUGGGAGAGGGAUGCGGAAUUCCAGGUGUAGCGGUGAAAUGCGUAGAUAUCGGGAGGAACACCUGUGGCGAAAGCGGCGCACUGGACCAUAACUGACGCUGAGGCGCGAAAGCUAGGGGAGCAAACAGG